GACGAACGCUGGCGGCGUGCUUAACACAUGCAAGUCGAACGGAAAGGCCCCUUUGGGGGUCCUCGAGUGGCGCACGGGUGAGUAACACGUGAGUAACCUGCCCUUGACUUCGGGAUAACUUCAGGAAACUGGGGCUAAUACCGGAUAGGAAUCCUUGCUGCAUGGUGGGGGUUGGAAAGCUUCGGCGGUUUUGGAUGGACUCGCGGCUUAUCAGCUUGUUGGUGGGGUAGUGGCUUACCAAGGCUUUGACGGGUAGCCGGCCUGAGAGGGCGACCGGCCACAUUGGGACUGAGAUACGGCCCAGACGCCUACGGGAGGCAGCAGUGGGGAAUAUUGCACAAGGGGCGGAAGCCUGAUGCAGCAACGCCGCGGGCGGGAUGACGGCCUUCGGGUUGGAAACCGCUUUCAGCAGGGGCGAAGCUUGUGGUGACGGUACCUGCAGAAGAAGCACCGGCUAACUACGUG
rnacentral:rRNA from 1 species